GGUUGAAGGUUAGGUAACACUGACUGGAGGACCGAACCCACUCCCGUUGAAAAGGUAGGGGAUGACUUGUGGAUCGGAGUGAAAGGCUAAUCAAGCUCGGAGAUAGCUGGUUCUCCUCGAAAGCUAUUUAGGUAGCGCCUCAUGUAUCACUCUGGGGGGUAGAGCACUGUUUCGGCUAGGGGGUCAUCCCGACUUACCAAACCGAUGCAAACUCCGAAUACCCAGAAGUGCCGAGCAUGGGAGACACACGGCGGGUGCUAACGUCCGUCGUGAAAAGGGAAACAACCCAGACCGCCAGCUAAGGUCCCAAAGUUGUGGUUAAGUGGUAAACGAUGUGGGAAGGCUUAGACAGCUAGGAGGUUGGCUUAGAAGCAGCCAUCCUUUAAAGAAAGCGUAAUAGCUCACUAGUCGAGUCGGCCUGCGCGGAAGAUGUAACGGGGCUCAAACCACACACCGAAGCUGCGGGUGUCACGUAAGUGACGCGGUAGAGGAGCGUUCUGUAAGCCUGUGAAGGUGAGUUGAGAAGCUUGCUGGAGGUAUCAGAAGUGCGAAUGCUGACAUGAGUAACGACAAUGGGUGUGAAAAACACCCACGCCGAAAGACCAAGGGUUCCUGCGCAACGUUAAUCGACGCAGGGUUAGUCGGUUCCUAAGGCGAGGCUGAAAAGCGUAGUCGAUGGGAAACAGGUUAAUAUUCCUGUACUUCUGGUUACUGCGAUGGAGGGACGGAGAAGGCUAGGCCAGCUUGGCGUUGGUUGUCCAAGUUUAAGGUGGUAGGCUGAAAUCUUAGGUAAAUCCGGGGUUUCAAGGCCGAGAGCUGAUGACGAGUCGUCUUUUAGAUGACGAAGUGGUUGAUGCCAUGCUUCCAAGAAAAGCUUCUAAGCUUCAGGUAACCAGGAACCGUACCCCAAACCGACACAGGUGGUCGGGUAGAGAAUACCAAGGCGCUUGAGAGAACUCGGGUGAAGGAACUAGGCAAAAUGGCACCGUAACUUCGGGAGAAGGUGCGCCGGCUAGGGUGAAGGAUUUACUCCGUAAGCUCUGGCUGGUCGAAGAUACCAGGCCGCUGCGACUGUUUAUUAAAAACACAGCACUCUGCAAACACGAAAGUGGACGUAUAGGGUGUGACGCCUGCCCGGUGCCGGAAGGUUAAUUGAUGGGGUUAGCGCAAGCGAAGCUCUUGAUCGAAGCCCCGGUAAACGGCGGCCGUAACUAUAACGGUCCUAAGGUAGCGAAAUUCCUUGUCGGGUAAGUUCCGACCUGCACGAAUGGCGUAACGAUGGCGGCGCUGUCUCCACCCGAGACUCAGUGAAAUUGAAAUCGCUGUGAAGAUGCAGUGUAUCCGCGGCUAGACGGAAAGACCCCGUGAACCUUUACUGUAGCUUUGCACUGGACUUUGAGCCUGCUUGUGUAGGAUAGGUGGGAGGCUUUGAAGCGUGGACGCCAGUUCGCGUGGAGCCAUCCUUGAAAUACCACCCUGGCAUGCUUGAGGUUCUAACUCUGGUCCGUGAUCCGGAUCGAGGACAGUGUAUGGUGGGCAGUUUGACUGGGGCGGUCUCCUCCUAAAGAGUAACGGAGGAGUACGAAGGUGCGCUCAGACCGGUCGGAAAUCGGUCGCAGAGUAUAAAGGCAAAAGCGCGCUUGACUGCGAGACAGACACGUCGAGCAGGUACGAAAGUAGGUCUUAGUGAUCCGGUGGUUCUGUAUGGAAGGGCCAUCGCUCAACGGAUAAAAGGUACUCCGGGGAUAACAGGCUGAUACCGCCCAAGAGUUCAUAUCGACGGCGGUGUUUGGCACCUCGAUGUCGGCUCAUCACAUCCUGGGGCUGAAGCCGGUCCCAAGGGUAUGGCUGUUCGCCAUUUAAAGUGGUACGCGAGCUGGGUUUAGAACGUCGUGAGACAGUUCGGUCCCUAUCUGCCGUGGACGUUUGAGAUUUGAGAGGGGCUGCUCCUAGUACGAGAGGACCGGAGUGGACGAACCUCUGGUGUUCCGGUUGUCACGCCAGUGGCAUUGCCGGGUAGCUAUGUUCGGAAAAGAUAACCGCUGAAAGCAUCUAAGCGGGAAACUUGCCUCAAGAUGAGAUCUCACUGGGAACUUGAUUCCCCUGAAGGGCCGUCGAAGACUACGACGUUGAUAGGCUGGGUGUGUAAGCGUUGUGAGGCGUUGAGCUAACCAGUACUAAUUGCCCGUGAGGCUUGACCA
rnacentral:rRNA from 1 species